UGUCUUUAAGAAAAAUGAAGCAGUAUUCACUCUCACUUUAUCAUCUUUUAUUUGAUUCCAGCUUUACGGGAAGUGACCCCCCGAAACCAAUAUCAUGACUUGCAAGUUGUCUCGUAAUUCACUCUUACUUUGUCAGUUUUUCUUCAAUUCACAUUUGCAUUCAUCAAGGAAAGUGAUUUUACAACUUGUGCGACGACUUUGCAUUGAUUCUUUUUAGCUUCACAAUUCAUUGAUUCUCUUCUCACAGAGAUCAUCUGCUUGUUGCUAUUAUUUUUCUUCACUGUGCUUGUUUCCCAAUUUUAACAAAGACCUUCUGAAGAUGGAAGUACCAAUUCACUGUCUCACUUAACCAGUUGGUUUCAGAAAAGUCCACUUGAGGAAGAUCAUUCAUCAGACAAGCAUGCAUCUUCUUCGACAAAUGAAAUGACUCUGUCAGUACUAGGUACUCAAUAACUGAUUAACUGUAUACUUAACUCUUUCAUCUCCUAGCCAUUAUUAGAUGCUAUUCAUGACCAGUAUAUUUUGUAACUUAUGCAUUGAUUCCAGUGGUUUAGUCCUAGUUUGAGCUUUAGCACCCUGUAAGUGCCUACUUGGGGUAAUGUUAUAUAUAUUUGUCUCACAGAUAAUCGACAAGAUGACUGCACUGAAGCUUCGUAUAAAUCAGCAAUAAGAGUUCUGUGCAAUCUCAUCAGUUGUAAAUUGUUUUGAUUUUUUUUCCUCAUGCACUCUUUCAGAUGUUUCAUUGACGAAUAAUCAAUUAAUCCUCACAUCAUAACAAAAAUAAAAAUGAAUAAGAAGUCAUGACUUAAUUUGUAUUUAUUUAAUAAAAAUAAAAAUGAAGUGAUCUGAUUGAUAUUAAACUAGUUCAAGAUGGUGGUCAUGAUCUGUACAUUCAUAUGUCUGCCUCUGAAGCAGGUAAGUUCACUGUUGGUUUUGUUGAGCAUUUGAGUGUUUCCUUAAAGUUCCAUAAUGAUUUCCAUUAUUGUUCUCCAUCACUGGCCUAUAGCUUUAGCUCAUUUGUUCUUAGUUUUAAUUCGAUUUCCUAUUUUUCUUUUGAUUUAUUAAAAUUUCCAUGAAGAGCCAAACGGUAAUAAUAAGGUCAAGAUAACAGUCAUAAUUCCAAUUGCCAUUUUCAUAGUUGCUGGUUUGCUUCUUGUCAGCUAUUACAUUUGCAGAAGCCAUGCAAGCUUAAAAGGUAAGACUGUCUGAUCCAUUUGCUUUCGUAAAUCAAGUUUUCACUAUGUUCUUUCCAACUUCCUUAGCUGAUGUUCAGAAAUAUUCUUGACUAACAUGAUAUAGCCUUCUAUGGUUCAUGUUAGUAUGUAGUAAAAUGUUUCAGGGGGUAGAAAAAACCAUGUGAUAAACGACAGGAGCAUGGAAGGGCAAAGGGAAGACUCAGAAGUCCAGUUAUACCUAGCAUUAAUAUCCAAAGCAACCAAUGACUUCUCAAUUGACAACAAGCUAGGACAAGGUGGUUUUGGGCCUGUAUACUGGGGUACCCUGGUAGAUGGACAAGAAAUUGCUGUGUAGAGGCUUUCAAGAAGCUGUGGAUAAGGUUUAACCGAGUUCAAAAAUGAAGUAGCACUAAUAGCCAAGCUUCAACAUCGAAAUCUUGUAAAGCUUCUGCCUUCUGGGAUGCUUGCGUAGAUGGAGAGGAAAAGAUGCUGGUUUAUGAAUAUACGCCAAAAAAAAGUUUGGACUUCUGCAUUUUCGUGGUUAUAUGGCACUUGAUCAAUAUCCUACUGGUGAACUGGUUCCACUAAAAUCAGAUUGUCUUUAGCUUUGGUAUAUUAAUGCUGGUGAUAAUUAGUGGGAAGAAAAAUAGAGGGCUUUACCAUCCAACAUGUUAGUUUCAGCAGAUACUAUUAUAAUCAAAUUUUUGUUGCUUCGCUUUGACUGAAAAAACCUGGAAGGGUUUGGAUUCGCUGCAGGCAUGGAGAUUAUGGAAAGAAGGCAGUCCUUCAGAACCUGUUGAAGAAUGCUUAGGAGAGUCCUGCAAUCUAUCAGAAGUGAUACGAUGCAUCCAUUAUUAGUCUUUUACGUGUACAGCAGCUUCCUGAGGAUAGACCAAGUUUGUCAUCUAUGAUUCUGAUGUUGGGAAGUGAAACUGAAUUGCCAGACCCCAAACAACUUGGUUUUUUCUUUGAAAAAAGUUCAUUGAAGAAGAUUCUUCAUCAGACAAGCAUGUAUCUUCUUCAACAAUUGAAAUGACUCUGUCAGUACUAAAUGAUCAUAAUUGAUUAACUGUAUACAUAACUCUUUCAUCUCCAAGUCAAUAUUAUAUGCUAUUGAUCAGUAUGUUUUAUACCUUAUGCUUUGAUACCAGUGGUUUAG